rnacentral:rRNA from 1 species
GACGAACGCUGGCGGCGUGCUUAACACAUGCAAGUCGAACGGUAAGGCCCUUCGGGGUACACGAGUGGCGAACGGGUGAGUAACACGUGGGUGAUCUGCCCUGCACUUCGGGAUAAGCCUGGGAAACUGGGUCUAAUACCGGAUAGGACCACGGCCUGCAUGGGUGGUGGUGGAAAGCUUUUGCGGUGUGGGAUGGGCCCGCGGCCUAUCAGCUAGUUGGUGGGGUGAUGGCCUACCAAGGCGACGACGGGUAGCCGGCCUGAGAGGGUGACCGGCCACACUGGGACUGAGAUACGGCCCAGACUCCUACGGGAGGCAGCAGUGGGGAAUAUUGCACAAUGGGCGCAAGCCUGAUGCAGCGACGCCGCGUGAGGGAUGACGGCCUUCGGGUUGUAAACCUCUUUCAGCACCGACGAAGCGCAAGUGACGGUAGGUGCAGAAGAAGGACCGGCCAACUACGUGCCAGCAGCCGCCGUAA